rnacentral:rRNA from 1 species
GACGAACGCUGGCGGCAUGCCUAACACAUGCAAGUCGAACGGAACUUGUUGAAUGAAGUUUUCGGAUGGAUUUUAGCAAGUUUAGUGGCGGACGGGUGAGUAACGCGUGAGCAACCUGCCUUUCAGAGGGGGACAACAGUUGGAAACGACUGCUAAUACCGCAUAAUGUAUCGGAACCGCAUGGCUCUGAUACCAAAGAUUAUAUCGCUGAAAGAUGGGCUCGCGUACGAUUAGAUAGUUGGUGAGGUAACGGCUCACCAAGUCGACGAUCGUUAGCCGGACUGAGAGGUUGAACGGCCACAUUGGGACUGAGACACGGCCCAGACUCCUACGGGAGGCAGCAGUGAGGAAUAUUGGGCAAUGGGCGCAAGCCUGACCCAGCAAUGCCGCGUGAAGGAAGACGGUUUCGGUAUUGUAAACUUCUUUAUACGGGAUAAAGUGUGGUACGUGUACC